CCUACGGGAGGCAGCAGUGAGGAAUAUUGGUCAAUGGCCGUAAGGCUGAACCAGCCAAGUCGCGUGAAGGAAGAAGGAUCUAUGGUUUGUAAACUUCUUUUAUAGGGGCAUAAAGGUAUCCACGUGUGGAUAUUUGAAUGUACCCUAUGAAUAAGCAUCGGCUAACUCCGUGCCAGCAGCCGCGGUAAUACGGAGGAUGCGAGCGUUAUCCGGAUUUAUUGGGUUUAAAGGGUGCGUAGGUUGUUUGUUAAGUCAGAGGUGAAAGUUUGUGGCUCAACCAUAAAAUUGCCGUUGAUACUGGAAGGCUUGAGUGUAUUUGAGGUAGGCGGAAUGCAUGGUGUAGCGGUGAAAUGCAUAGAGAUCACGCAGAACACCGAUUGCGAAGGCAGCUUACUAAGCCAUAACUGACGCUGAGGCACGAAAGCGUGGGGAGCAAACAGGAUUAGAUACCCCAGUAGUC
rnacentral:rRNA from 1 species